rnacentral:tRNA from 1 species
UGGGGUGUAGCUCAGUGGCAGAGCGCUUGCCUAGCAUGCAUGAGGCCCUGGGUUCUGUCUCCACUACCACAA